UAGACGUGAUGUGGAGCGAAUUAGAGUAGCGAAGCGUGUGAGCCAUGUGCCGAGAAAAGCCGCUAUUGUUUCAUGUGUGCCCGUACCGUAAACCGACACAGGUGGAUGAGGAGAGAAUCCUAAGGCCGGCGGAAGAAGCAUUGUUAAGGAACUCGGCAAAAUGACCCCGUAACUUCGGGAGAAGGGGUGCCUGCUAACGCAGGCCGCAGAGAAUAGGCUUAAGCAACUGUUUAGCAAAACACAGGUCUAUGCGAAACCGAAAGGUGAAGUAUAUGGGCUGACGCCUGCCCGGUGCUGGAAGGUUAAGAGGAGAGGUUAGCGCAAGCGAAGCUUUGAAUUUAAGCCCCAGUAAACGGCGGCCGUAACAAUAACGGUCCUAAGGUAGCGAAAUUCCUUGUCGGGUAAGUUCCGACCCGCACGAAAGGCGUAAUGAUUUGAGCACUGUCUCGACAAUGCAUCCGGUGAAAUUGAAGUACCAGUGAAGAUGCUGGUUACCCGCGCCAGGACGGAAAGACCCCAUGGAGCUUUACUCCAGUUUGGUACUGGGAUUCGGUACUGCAUGUACAGGAUAGGUGGGAGACUAAGAACUUGGGACGCCAGUUUCAAGGGAGUCGCUGUUGGGAUACCACCCUUGCAGUAUUGGAUUUCUAACCAGCCGCCGUGAUCCGGCGGUGGGACAAUGCCAGGCGGGGAGUUUGACUGGGGCGGUCGCCUCCGAAAGGGUAUCGGAGGCGCUCAAAGGUUCCCUCAGAACGGUUGGAAACCAUUUGAAGAGUGCAAAGGCAGGAGGGAGCUUGACUGCGACACCGACGGGUGGAGCAGGUAGGAAACUAGGACUUAGUGAUCCGGUGGCAUAAAGUGGGAUUGCCAUCGCUCAACGGAUAAAAGCUACCCUGGGAUAACAGGCUUAUCACUCCCAAGAGUUCACAUCGACGGAGUGGUUUGGCACCUCGAUGUCGGCUCAUCGCAUCCUGGGGCUGUAGCAGGUCCCAAGGGUUGGGCUGUUCGCCCAUUAAAGCGGUACGCGAGCUGGGUUCAGAACGUCGUGAGACAGUUCGGUCCCUAUCCGGCGCGGGCGGAGGAUAUUUGAGAGGAGCUGUCCUUAGUACGAGAGGACCGGGAUGGACGGACCACUGGUGUAUCUGCUGUCGACCAACGGCAUGGCAGAGUAGCCAAGUCCGGAAGGGAUAAACGCUGAAGGCAUCUAAGCGUGAAGCCCCCCUCAAGAUGAGAUAUCCCCCACAUAAGUA
rnacentral:rRNA from 1 species